CUUCCUGUAGUUCAGUCGAUAGCACACUGGACUUCUAAUUCAGAGCCUGUGAGUUUGAGUCCCACCAGGGAUG
rnacentral:tRNA from 1 species